rnacentral:rRNA from 1 species
CCCUGGCUCAGGACGAACGCUGGCGGCAUGCCUAAUACAUGCAAGUCGAGCGGAGUUUGAGAGGAAGCUUGCUUCCUUUCAGACUUAGCGGCGGACGGGUGAGUAACACGUAGGCAACCUGCCCUCAAGCCUGGGAUAACUACCGGAAACGGUAGCUAAUACCGGAUAAUUUCUUUUUUCUCCUGAGAGAAGAAUGAAAGGCGGAGCAAUCUGCUGCUUGGGGAUGGGCCUGCGGCGCAUUAGCUAGUUGGUGGGGUAACGGCCCACCAAGGCGACGAUGCGUAGCCGACCUGAGAGGGUGAACGGCCACACUGGGACUGAGACACGGCCCAGACUCCUACGGGAGGCAGCAGUAGGGAAUCUUCCGCAAUGGGCGCAAGCCUGACGGAGCAAUGCCGCGUGAGUGAUGAAGGUUUUCGGAUCGUAAAGCUCUGUUGCCAGGGAAGAACGUCCGGUAGAGUAACUGCUGCCGGAGUGACGGUACCUGAGAAGAAAGCCCCGGCUAACUA